CCUACGGGUGGCAGCAGUAGGGAAUCUUCCACAAUGGGCGAAAGCCUGAUGGAGCAACGCCGCGUGGGUGAAGAAGGUCUUCGGAUCGUAAAACCCUGUUGUUAGAGAAGAAAGUGCGUGAGAGUAACUGUUCACGUUUCGACGGUAUCUAACCAGAAAGCCACGGCUAACUACGUGACACCAGCCGCGGUAAUACGUAGGGUGCAAGCGUUAUCCGGAUUUAUUGGGCGUAAAGGGAACGGAGGCGGUCUUUUAAGUCUGAUGUGAAAGUCUUCGGCUUAACCGGAGUAGUGCAUUGGAAACUGGGAGACUUGAGUGCAGAAGAGGAGGGUGGAACUCCAGGUGUAGCGGUGAAAUGCGUAGAUAUAUGGAAGAACACCAGUGGCGAAGGCGGCUCUCUGGUCUGUAACUGACGCUGAGGUUCGAAAGCGUGGGUAGCAAACAGGAUUAGAUACCCGAGUAGUC
rnacentral:rRNA from 1 species